UAGUGGACAAAUAUAUUUUCUGUCACAGAAGAUAUUUGAAAAAAAGAUAUUUGAAGAAUAAAAAAAUAAGUUUGAUAUAUUUAGAGUAGGAAAUUUACUAAAUAUCUUCUUGGAACAUGAUCUUUACUUAAUAUCCUAAUGAUUUUUGGCAUAAAAAAAAAAAAAAAAUCUAUAAUUAUGACCCAUAUAAUGUUAUAUGUUAUAUACCUGUUCUACUUAUUACUGGUUUUGUGGUCCAGGGUCACAAAUUCAGUAAGAUUAUGAAGUUAACUUUUACAGAUGGUAUUAUUGUUAAAGUGAUAGUUCACCCAAAAAUGAAAAGUCUGUCGCAAUUUACUCAAACUCAUAUCAUUCCAACCCUAUAUGACUGACUUACUUCUGUGGAAUAUAAAGCAAAAUCAUAUGGGAAAUGUCUCAGCGUCUUUUUAAAAAUGUUAUUAAUUAAUUAAUCUAUUCUUACGGGUUUGGAACGACAUGAGGGUGAGUCAUUGACAUAAUUUUCAUUUUUGGGUGAACUAUCCCUUUAAGGGCCAAACCCCAGCAAAAUAUUCACGUGGUAACUCAUGGGCCAGAUGGGCUAGAUUUUUUUUAUUUAUUUAAAUUUAGCACCAAUCCAGUCCUAGUCAGGACUUCAUAUAUCAGAAUAGUAAAAUAAAUGUGAAAUCAGAAAUGAAAUGAAAUGAAAUGAAAUCAGAAAUCACAUCAAAAAUGUGAAACGGAAUACAAUUGUUAGUGCUUUACUGCAACUAGUCUUCACUGCCCCUGUAAACUUCAGCAAUUAUGUACAGUAUAUAUGUUUUUAGAGCAGAAGUGUAGGUAGUUUCACGUUUGUUUCCCACUGAGUUGGGAGUUCUUACUAAGAAACCACUUCUUUUUAUUUUCUGUUAAAAAGUACGGCACAGCAUUCUUUAAAUGUUAAUGCAGAAGCAGAAUUUAACCACACAAAGACAACACAUCACUACAGACAAGAAGGACAAACACAAGAGGGAUCUGUGCACCAUAAAGACCAUUUCCACAGUCGAUGAGACAGAGAUGCCACUAACUGAUUGUUUGUCUUCGGUUUUAAAGAAAAUAUACACAUUUCUGAAACGACAUUCUUUUUUAAUCAUUUUUCUAUUGAGUCUUUUGUUAAUCGGAUUUGAGGAGUUCAUGGAAGCAAAAGUUUUCUCAUGCCCGUGCAGACAUGAUCUGAAUGUACAACUAACAGUGUGCAUCUUCAUCGGACCUGCUCUCUUUAUUUUCGAAUUACUCUUCCUCUUUUUAAGGCCUUUUAGAGAGAAAUGCAGUCGUUUUUCUGCAGGAGCAGAUGAUGAUACUCAGCUGAACUGUCCUAAAGCUUUCACAUCAUGUCUGAUUCCACCCGUAAUGUGGGUCAUCAUCUUGUUACUCGAUGGAGAUUACUUCGCUUGUGCCAUGACAUAUUGGAAGGGAAUUUUCACGUUUGAUAAUCAGCUCAACAGGUCGUGGUGUAAACCUACCGAAAAGUUCAGAAAUGUGACAGCGCUACAAAAUUUGACUCAAACACAUAUCCAUCAAUCUCAGAUAUAUGGUUAUGGUGUGAGCACUGUCUUCAUCGUCUUUCCAAUUAUCUAUGUGGGAAUUUGUGACUGCUGUGGAAAAUCUGCCUGUUGA
ensembl:lncRNA